AUCACAUCUCUGCCUUUUGGCUAAGAUCAAGUGUAGUAUCUGUUCUUAUCAGUUUGAUAUCUGCUACACCCUCUAUCCGAGGACAACAUAUUAAGUGGAUUUUUGGAAAUAGGAGUUGGAAUAGGAGCUUGCUCUGCCCACUCCACGCAUAGACCUGGUAUUGCAGUACCUCCAGGAGCAGUGCACCCACC
ensembl:snRNA U2 U2 spliceosomal RNA